UGGGGAAUUUUGCACAAUGGGGGAAACCCUGAUGCAGCGACGCCGCGUGAUUUAGAAGGCCUUCGGGUUGUAAAAAUCUUUUUUACGGGAUGAAAAUGACAGUACCGUAAGAAUAAGGUCCGGCUAAAUACGUGCCAGCAGCCGCGGUAAUACGUAUGGACCGAGCGUUGUCCGGAAUCAUUGGGCGUAAAGGGUACGUAGGCGGCCUAGUAAGUUAGAAGUGAAAUAAUAUAGCUCAACUAUAUAAAGCUUUUAAAACUGCUAGGCUUGAGAGAUGGAAGGAAAGUGGAAUUCCUAGUGUAGCGGUGAAAUGCGCAGAUAUUAGGAAGAAUACCGGUGGCGAAGGCGACUUUCUGGUCAUCAUCUGACGCUGAGGUACGAAAGCGUGGGUAGCAAACAGG
rnacentral:rRNA from 1 species